AGUUCAAGGAAACAGUUCAUAAGUAAGUUUGUUUCACGUUUUGUUGUUUCAAUUCAUUCUAUGGUUCUGUUUGGAUGCUGAGAAAACUUGGAUAGACUGGAGAAAUCAGAAGCUUAAGUUUACGAGAAUAUUGCAAAACUAGAUGGACUUUGCCAAAUUUUCUAUUAGGCCUAUUUAACAUAUGGUUUGGUUUCUUUGAUUUUACUUAUAUAGAAAAUUCCUUGAUUUUGAAAUCUAAAAUUGGAUCAUUCUUGGCUAUUCAAAGCUGCAUAAAAAGUUUCCAUAAUGUUUAGUACGUGGUACUGCAGUUUUGGUCGUCUCCUGAGUUUUCUCAGCUUCCAAAGGGGGCGUAAGGAAAUUGAAAUUAGAUAGAUUGCUAAUGCCCUGUUUUUACAUCUUUG
rnacentral:misc_RNA from 1 species